UUUUAUCACCAAUAGAGUAUUUUUAAAAUUUUAUUUCCCUUACCAGUCAAAGGUUUACCACAUUUUCCGAUCAGAUCAGACAAUGUUUGCAAGAAGUCUGUUUUGCGACGAUACAAAACGAGUAAGAACAAGAUAACAUCAACAUUAAUGACCAUGUAAACUCUGACUGCAAUACCAGGGGGUUGGUUUUGUUAAUAUUAUGUUUCUCACAUUGAUGAAAAAAAAAAUUCUGUUCAAGCUGAGAACAAAAAACAAAAAUUCUGACUCCCAAUGCCUUAUAGU
rnacentral:lncRNA from 1 species